GGGGAUGUAGCUCAGUGGUAGAGCUCGUGCUUCGCAUGUAUGAGGUCCUGUGUUCAAACCCCAGCAUCUCCA